rnacentral:rRNA from 1 species
GACGAACGCUGGCGGCGUGCUUAACACAUGCAAGUCGAACGAAGUCGCGCACGGGUGAGUAACGCGUAAUCAACCUGCCCUUCAGAGGGGGACAACUGUUGGACACGACUGCUACUACCGCAUACUGAAGCAAGUGAUUGCGUCUGAUUAGCUAGUUGGAGGGGUAACGGCCCACCAAGGCGAUGAUCAGUAGCCGGGCUGAGGGGAUGAACGGGCACAUUGGUAAUGAGACACGGCCCAGAAUCCUACGGGAGGCAGCAGUGGGGAAUCUUUCGAAAUGGACGGAAGUCUGACGGAGCAACGCCGCGUGAGUGAUGACGGCCUUCGGGUUGUAAAGGUCUGUUAAUCGGGACGCGGUACCGGAAUAGAAAGCCACGGCUAACUACGUGCCAGCAGCCGCGGUAAUAC